ACCGGUGCUUAAGACCACCCACACUUAUUGUCUGCCAGCCUCUCUACAGGGUCACCCACUUCACUAUCAGAAUCACCUGCACAAAGGAGGAGAUCACUGGUAACAUAUGAUAAAGAAACAACGUUGGCACUCAGCUGUGAAGACUUCUUACAAGAAAAAGUAGUGAACUACACUCUUGAAGCUAAAGAAACCCCUAAGAUAUGCAAAUGUUUUGUUGUAGAUGGCGAGGACGGUGCACCUGUUAUCCCCCUGCAUUCUAUCAAGGGGACACAUUGUCUGCAUAAUUUAUUCCUUACUUUCUCGGGAUCUGGAGUGUCAGGGAAUGCGACGGAAAUUGGUGAAGCAGUUAACACACACAGUGUCUCCCUCCACCUCUGCUGGAAUCAGUAGCAGUGGCAAUUGCUUAGGCAUCUCUCCCCUGGAACUGUGGCGCAGUGAGGCUCAUCUGAGACUGUGUGUGUUCCCGGGGUAUCGUUUAUCCGGACAAACUCAAGCUGUCAUCUCAGCAGUGGAACAUUUUGCUUGUGUGAAAUGUGUGCAGCUGUCAGGGGAAACUUGAUCAGUACUGCAAACUGAGAAACUGGCUAGAUGUGUCUGUCAGGAUGCUCAGCUCCUACCUUCCGAGCCUCUGGGCAACUGUCUACUUUUCAUUGCUGCCAGCCAGGCUGACUGAGGCUGAGAGAUGGAGGCACUAAUGCUGAGCACCCCCUGCUUCUCUAUGAUGACUUUGGAAAGCUUCCCAGCUUGUGCAUCUGCCUUGGCUUCACAGCUUGUACUUCAGAGAAUGAAGCUUUCAAGAGAGACACUGCAAACAACCACAUCUAUUCACAGAGGGAGAGUGACAUUUCUUCUUUCUUUGAGGGACAAGUGCCUGCCUCGUUACUUUCUGCCCCUGACAUUGUAGCUGCUGGUGAAUGUGUGGAGACAGGAAGUGCUUACUUGGCACAGAGGUCCUGUGACUAGUGCUAUUGUCCAGCUGGAUGGAUGGUUCUCUUUCAGCCUCUCCAAGACACCCUGAGUUCCUUUGCUCUCCUGUCUCUCUCACCAUCUGAUGUUCUGUAUCUUUUGGGAACUCUCCCACCAAGAAACCAAUCACCAGAUGCAGCCUGACACUGGAUGAGAACCGUAAGCCAAAAUGGAGAAAUUGAAGCUUAUAGAAACUAGCUCGGCAUACCUGUCUAGUGUUUUGCUUCAGGACCAGUUUUGCCCUUGAUUAUCGCAUGAUGGGAUAGAUGGACUGUUUGAGAUCUGUAAGCAUUCUAGAGUGCACUUGAUGAGGAAGUGAGUAUCUGUCACUGUAUUAUGUAGCUUAUUUGACCAUCUGUCAAGGUCAUGUAUCAGAGAAGACUGGAAAAGACUUGGAUGAGAAACCUCUAAUGUCUUCUAUCAACUUUAAAACUUUAAUUUAUUGUCUAGACACAUGCUGAGGUGACAGAAUGAUAUGGUCCUUCCCCUUUCUUGGUAUUUUCCUUGUUUUCUUUUCCUUUAAAGCAGAUGGUUUUUAUGGUGCUGACUGCCUCAGGAGAAAGACACUCAGCAAUCAGAAAUCUUCCUUCCUUCAGCUUUUCUGUUGCAAAAUGUCAGUACUUUCAAGGGAAAACGGGGAGCUUAUGGCAUAGACAAAACAUGCAAGCAGAAGAUCAAAGCAGUUUCUGGACAAAUAUGAUAAUGUACUUGGACUUUUGAGAAAAUACUGCUGACCUUGAGUUCAAUGAAUGGGGCAUGGAGAACUUAGUGUCGAGCAAGGUGCCUCCCACUCUAGGGAUAGAGGCACCUUACUAGUUAAGUAAGUCACAUGGAGGAAAGCUGAUUUGAAAACGAGGUGAGGGUCUUGAGAAUACAAAACAUAUCUGUUCAGAUAAAACCCUGGGAGACAUUAAAUCUCAGCAUGACAUGGUCUGGUGGGACUAUCCAGGGCACACAGGGAGAAAGAGUAUCAGAAAAUGCCAGGGUACAAGAGACAUUCCCUACUUGGAUGUGUUGUCUCAAGAUAGAAAUUAUUCAAAAGGUGAUAAUAAUGGCUCAGAAUUUUAUUCUGAGACCUGAAGGCUAAUCAAGCCACUGUUUGAAGAUUUCAUUUCACCUUGUCACCUUGCUUAUUUCCUGCCAUCCCCCAUUAAUUGAAAUCUAAACACACUUUGCUCCAAUGAGGAUUGUUUAAGGUAAAUGUUUUGAAUAGUCCAACUCUGUCCUUCAUAGGGUUAACUUGCUCAUUUUGAGAGAUCAUCCUCAUCUAUUCCCAUCAAUUAUUUUAAACACCCAAAAGAGCACCAAACAAACUAACAAAAGCAAAAUCCUCAAGAAAUACUUUCUUAUAUUUGAGUCUGACAUGAAUGGAUCUCUUCUGUCUCCCUGAAGAGUGGAGAAGUGGUAGGUACCAUCGUUCCAAUCCCCUUUCUAAUGCCAUUCUUUACCCAUAGCUUGGACAGAUAGUCUCAUAGCAAGUGGGCUUCUUCUGAAGCAGUAUUAUAGAGUGAGAGAUUUAAGAGGAAAUGGCCUGUGAAUGAUAGAGAACAAGUAAGAGAGACAGGCAGGGGGAAGCUCACUUCAAAAGAGCAGUUUGAUGCUUCAGCGAGGAGACACAGAAUGAGGGUUAGGUGGAGGGAUUCUGGAAUUCUCUGAAGUUCUGAACAAAGGUUGAGCAUGAGGCUCAGCAACGGCAGAGUGUUGGGCUUCCUGACGAAGAAAAUAGCCCUUCGAACAGCAUCACUGUGCUCAGUGAUAAGCUUGGCGAAGCCCGGGAGAGGAUAUUGACAGGAGGUUGGGCUUGGUCCUGAGGGACCUGUAACUGCAGGAUAUCCACCAGAAGACUUCCUCAAAUCAGGUGCUGUUCUUGGAAGAGGAUUGGAGUGGUACACCACCAUGGCUUUCAAAGUUACCGCUGUUUACUUUUAAGCUAUAAUUCUUAUGUUUUUAUGGAUAUUGAUUUAGACUGGUUUCAUAAUUUCUCAAGAUGAAAAAUUGUAAAAUGGUUUGGGAAGAGAAAUAUAAAUAAGACUUGCCUGACUUAAAUUAUCUGCCAAACGUCUGAGAAUACUUUAUUUAAAAGCUUGAAAGCCAUCUUGUCAGAACAAGUGACUGUGAUGUAAGCCAUUAUGUAGAGAUUCUUAAACGUUCCCAUAUGCAGGUUGGAGGUGCCUGUAUAAAUUCAAUUAAUGUAAGGCUCUUAGGGAAAAUAUUUGAAUGGCAUAACUUCCAUAAUAUCAUCUGGGUUAAAACAAAAUAAAAUUUAGCAUUUGAUUAAAAGAAUGGUAAAGAAAAGGAGGUUGCUGAACUCUUUUUGUGAAAUGAAUGACCAAAGCCUUUAUGAUUUAUUUAAAGUGCUUUGUUAUUGACCAAAUUUUUUCCAAGAUGAAAGUAGUAAGCAGGUGGGCCGGAAGUGAAGAAUUGUAGCUUAUUAAAUUCAAUUUAUUUACCUGUGAGGAUUAGAAAGUUAAAGAAAACAAAUAAAAAGGAGGCCAUUUUACAAGCCAGUGCCUGAAAAUGAGGACAACAUUUUAAAUAUUAUUUCUUUUAAGCAAAUUGCAUAAUAAUAAAGACUAGAAGUUCUCACCUGAUUCUUAGUCUGUGAAUCCAAUUUGGUCCCCUGAGCUCUGAUGAAUUUGUUAUACAUUCUCCAGACAGAAACAAUACUAACUAUUCUCCUGGCUUUUGUUGCUUGUAAAACUCUCUCAAUAGGAUAGUAAGUCUCCUCAGAGGGGUACCAUCACUGGUAAAAGCCUUGCUCAUGAAAUGCCAAUGCCAUCUUUUACUACAUUAGAAGAAGCCUCCCGGGUAGAAUGGGACCCUACCCACUCAUGAAUUAGUUCAGUAAGGCCUUUAUAACACUCAUGAGUCACACAGUUAACUUUACAGAACUCUGGAGGCUGAAAUCCAGGACAAGGAUACAGGCAGAAUAGUUUCUUCCUUCUCCAUAGGGAAUGCCAUCUGUAUUUGUCUGUCUUAGCCUUCAUAGAAGAACAUCAGUCAUAGUAGAUUAGGGUUCAACCAGAGGUUUCAUUUAACUUUAUCUAUCUAGAGUCUCCACCUAUAAACACAGUUGUAACUGUGACUUCUUUAUUAGUAUGUAUGAAUGGAUGUAGAUCCAUAUGAGUGUGUAUAAUGUGAAUGUAUUCCUCUCCCCUGCCCCCCCCCUCUCUCUCUCUCUGUGUGUGUGUGUGUGUGUGUGUGUGUGUGUGUGUGUGUGUGUGUGCUUAGUUCUGAGAUCAUCAAGUGUUAUAUACUCCUUUUUAAGUCAGGGCCUUUCACUAGCCUGAGGUUCACCACAUAGGUUAGAGUGACUAGUCAGCAAACCUCAGGAGUCUGUCUUUUUGAGCCCCCACACCCCCAGCACUGUGGCUCCAAUAUGAGUUGAUACAGACAUGUGCCAUCUGUACUAUGAGUCAGCACUGGUGGUGGUAAACACUGAUCUCUUCUGGGGAAGUGCACAUUCAUUGAGAUAAUAAAUGCUAGUGAAAAACUGUCACUUUUGGCUGUGUGUGUGUGUGAGUGUGUGUGUGUGUGAGAGAGAGAGAGACAGAGAGAGACAGAGACAGAGACAGAGACAGAUAGAUUUCCCUUAUGGGGACUUUAGAAGUUACAUCUAUGGAGAAACUAUAGGAGACUGGGUCCUUCUAUACAUGGCCUAGUAAAACUAGCAAAACUCAUU